rnacentral:rRNA from 1 species
AUGAACGCUAGCUACAGGCUUAACACAUGCAAGUCGAGGGGCAGCAUUUUAGUUUGCUUGCAAACUGAAGAUGGCGACCGGCGCACGGGUGAGUAACACGUAUCCAACCUGCCGAUAACUCGGGGAUAGCCUUUCGAAAGAAAGAUUAAUAUCCGAUAGUAUAUUAAAACCGCAUGGUUUUACUAUUAAAGAAUUUCGGUUAUCGAUGGGGAUGCGUUCCAUUAGUUUGUUGGCGGGGUAACGGCCCACCAAGACUACGAUGGAUAGGGGUUCUGAGAGGAAGGUCCCCCACAUUGGAACUGAGACACGGUCCAAACUCCUACGGGAGGCAGCAGUGAGGAAUAUUGGUCAAUGGACGAGAGUCUGAACCAGCCAAGUAGCGUGAAGGAUGACUGCCCUAUGGGUUGUAAACUUCUUUUAUAUGGGAAUAAAGUAUUCCACGUGUGGGAUUUUGUAUGUACCAUAUGAAUAAGGAUCGGCUAACUCCGUGCCAGCAGCCGCGGUAAUACGGAGGAUCCGAGCGUUAUCCGGAUUUAUUGGGUUUAAAGGGAGCGUAGGUGGAUUGUUAAGUCAGUUGUGAAAGUUUGCGGCUCAACCGUAAAAUUGCAGUUGAAACUGGCAGUCUUGAGUACAGUAGAGGUGGGCGGAAUUCGUGGUGUAGCGGUGAAAUGCUUAGAUAUCACGAAGAACUCCGAUUGCGAAGGCAGCUCACUAGACUGCAACUGACACUGAUGCUCGAAAGUGUGGGUAUCAAACAGGAUUAGAUACCCUGGUAGUCCACACUGUAAACGAUGAAUACUAGGUGUUGGGGAGCAUGGCUCUUCGGUGCCGCAGCAAACGCAAUAAGUAUUCCACCUGGGGAGUACGUUCGCAAGAAUGAAACUCAAAGGAAUUGACGGGGGCCCGCACAAGCGGAGGAACAUGUGGUUUAAUUCGAUGAUACGCGAGGAACCUUACCCGGGCUUAAAUUGCAUUUGAAUAAUCUGGAAACAGGUUAGCCGCAAGGCAAAUGUGAAGGUGCUGCAUGGUUGUCGUCAGCUCGUGCCGUGAGGUGUCGGCUUAAGUGCCAUAACGAGCGCAACCCUUAUCUUUAGUUACUAACAGGUCAUGCUGAGGACUCUAGAGAGACUGCCGUCGUAAGAUGUGAGGAAGGUGGGGAUGACGUCAAAUCAGCACGGCCCUUACGUCCGGGGCUACACACGUGUUACAAUGGGGGGUACAGAAGGCAGCUACCUGGUGACAGGAUGCUAAUCCCAAAAACCUCUCUCAGUUCGGAUCGAAGUCUGCAACCCGACUUCGUGAAGCUGGAUUCGCUAGUAAUCGCGCAUCAGCCAUGGCGCGGUGAAUACGUUCCCGGGCCUUGUACACACCGCCCGUCAAGCCAUGAAAGCCGGGGGUACCUGAAGUACGUAACCGCAAGGAGCGUCCUAGGGUAAAACUGGUAAUUGGGGCU